AUAGGCUAAACCAAAAAGGAUUUAUCUUGAUAGGGUAAAAUUAAAAGGCCUAAA
rnacentral:tRNA from 1 species